rnacentral:rRNA from 1 species
AAUGAACGUUGGCGGCGUGGAUUAGGCAUGCAAGUCGAGCGAAAACCGUAGCAAUACGGGGAAAGCGGCGAAAGGGAGAGUAAUACGUAGGUACCUACCCUCGGGUCUGGGAUAGCUGCGGGAAACUGCAAUUAAUACCGGAUGACGUCUCUGGACCAAAGGUGUGAUUCCGCCAGGGGAUGGGCCUUCGCCCUAUUAGCUAGUUGGUGUGGUAAUGGCGCACCAAGGCAACGAUGGGUACGGGUGUGAGAGCAUGCCCCCGCUCACUGGGACUGAGACACUGCCCAGACACCUACGGGUGGCAG